rnacentral:tRNA from 1 species
CCGACCUUAGCUCAGUUGGUAGAGCGGAGGACUGUAGUACGUGCAGAUAAAUCCUUAGGUCGCUGGUUCGAAUCCGGCAGGUCGGA